rnacentral:rRNA from 1 species
UACGGAGGGAGCUAGCGUUGUUCGGAAUUACUGGGCGUAAAGCGCGCGUAGGCGGCUUUGUAAGUUAGAGGUGAAAGCCCGGGGCUCAACUCCGGAACUGCCUUUAAGACUGCAUCGCUUGAAUCCGGGAGAGGCGAGUGGAAUUCCGAGUGUAGAGGUGAAAUGCGUAGAUAUUGGGAGGAACACCGGUGGCGAAGGCGGCCCUCUGGACCGGUACUGACGCUGAUGCGCGAAAGCGUGGGUAGCAAACGGG